rnacentral:rRNA from 1 species
GAUCAUGGCUCAGGAUGAACGCUAGCUACAGGCUUAACACAUGCAAGUCGAGGGGCAGCAUGAACUUAGCUUGCUAAGUUUGAUGGCGACCGGCGCACGGGUGAGUAACACGUAUCCAACCUGCCGAUGACGUCGGGGAUAGCCUUUACGAAAGAAAGAUUAAUACCCGAUGGCAUAGUUCUUCCGCAUGGUAGAAACUAAUUAAAGAAUUUCGGUCAUCGAGUGGGGAUGUCGUUCC